AAAUUGUUGCCGUUACCUGUGAUUAAAAGGAUGGUUGAUAAAGGGAUCCGAAACAAGAUCACUUUGGUGGAGAAGAAGGGAAUCAAAGGGUUGGAGAAGCUGAUGCAAUUUUAGUUCCAUACUAGAAUUUGAAGAUUGAAGAAAUCAAUGGAAUCACUAAGGAUUUUGUGGAGCUUGGGUUUCUCGCCCCGACCGGUCUAUUUCUCGGUGGAACCAAGUACAUGAUUAUUCAAGGUGAACCAGGAGCUGUGAUCCGAGGAAAGAAGGGACCUGGAGGCGUUACUAUCAAAAAGACGUCUCAAGCCUUGGUCAUUGGUAUCUAGGAGGAGCCCUUGACCGGAGGUCAAUGCAAUUUGGUUGUGGAAAGGCUCGAGGAUUAUCUCAUCGAUUCUGAUCUCUAAAUUUAUAUUUCUAACUUCUUUGACUAAAAGAAUGCCAUUGCCCUUUCCAUUGUAAUUGAUUGUAAUAACGCAAUUGAUUUUAUGAUACUUAAGAACCAAAUAUAUGUUGUAACCGAAAACUGGAAAUUCAGAAACCAGAACACAAAAGAAAAAACAAGUUGCAGAGCCGUAGAAUGAUCUACUGCACUUGAGCGAAAAACCGCCUAAUCUCGGGUGCAAGAUAACCAAGACGGGUCACUCCAGGGUUUACU